UACGUAGGGUGCGAGCGUUGUCCGGAAUUAUUGGGCGUAAAGAGCUCGUAGGCGGUUUGUCGCGUCUGCUGUGAAAACUGGAGGCUCAACCUCCAGCCUGCAGUGGGUACGGGCAGACUAGAGUGCGGUAGGGGAGAUUGGAAUUCCUGGUGGUAGCGGUGGAAUGCGCAGGAUAUCAGGAGGAACACCGAUGGCGAAGGCCAGGUCUCUGGGCCAUUGACUGACACUGAGAAGCUGAAAGCAUGGGGA
rnacentral:rRNA from 1 species